rnacentral:rRNA from 2 species
GGGUUGUGAGGUUAAGCGACUAAGCGUACACGGUGGAUGCCCUGGCAGUCAGAGGCGAUGAAGGACGUGCUAAUCUGCGAUAAGCGCCGGUAAGGUGAUAUGAACCGUUAUAACCGGCGAUUUCCGAAUGGGGAAACCCAGUGUGAUUCGUCACACUAUCAUUAACUGAAUCCAUAGGUUAAUGAGGCGAACCGGGGGAACUGAAACAUCUAAGUACCCCGAGGAAAAGAAAUCAACCGAGAUUCCCCCAGUAGCGGCGAGCGAACGGGGAGGAGCCCAGAGCCUGAAUCAGCAUGUGUGUUAGUGGAAGCGUCUGGAAAGGCGCGCGAUACAGGGUGACAGCCCCGUACACAAAAGCGCAUGUGCUGUGAGCUCGAUGAGUAGGGCGGGACACGUGGUAUCCUGUCUGAAUAUGGGGGGACCAUCCUCCAAGGCUAAAUACUCCUGACUGACCGAUAGUGAACCAGUACCGUGAGGGAAAGGCGAAAAGAACCCCGGCGAGGGGAGUGAAAAAGAACCUGAAACCGUGUACGUACAAGCAGUGGGAGCACCCUUCGGGGUGUGACUGCGUACCUUUUGUAUAAUGGGUCAGCGACUUAUAUUCUGUAGCAAGGUUAACCGUAUAGGGGAGCCGGAGGGAAACCGAGUCUUAACCGGGCGUUAAGUUGCAGGGUAUAGACCCGAAACCCGGUGAUCUAGCCAUGGGCAGGUUGAAGGUUGGGUAACACUAACUGGAGGACCGAACCGACUAAUGUUGAAAAAUUAGCGGAUGACCUGUGGCUGGGGGUGAAAGGCCAAUCAAACCGGGAGAUAGCUGGUUCUCCCCGAAAGCUAUUUAGGUAGCGCCUCGUGAAUUCAUCUCCGGGGGUAGAGCACUGUUUCGGCUAGGGGGCCAUCCCGGCUUACCAACCCGAUGCAAACUGCGAAUACCGGAGAAUGUUAUCACGGGAGACACACGGCGGGUGCUAACGUCCGUCGUGAAGAGGGAAACAACCCAGACCGCCAGCUAAGGUCCCAAAGUCAUGGUUAAGUGGGAAACGAUGUGGGAAGGCCCAGACAGCCAGGAUGUUGGCUUAGAAGCAGCCAUCAUUUAAAGAAAGCGUAAUAGCUCACUGGUCGAGUCGGCCUGCGCGGAAGAUGUAACGGGGCUAAACCAUGCACCGAAGCUGCGGCAGCGAACGUAUCACCCAAGACAACUUUACGGAGUUGACGAUUGACGGAGCGAAGCGACGUCAAAGCGUUCAUUAAAGUCGAGUUGGCUUAGGGAUACGUUCGUUGGGUAGGGGAGCGUUCUGUAAGCCUGUGAAGGUGUGUCGUGAGGCAUGCUGGAGGUAUCAGAAGUGCGAAUGCUGACAUAAGUAACGAUAAAGCGGGUGAAAAGCCCGCUCGCCGGAAGACCAAGGGUUCCUGUCCAACGUUAAUCGGGGCAGGGUGAGUCGACCCCUAAGGCGAGGCCGAAAGGCGUAGUCGAUGGGAAACGGGUUAAUAUUCCCGUACUUGGUGUUACUGCGAAGGGGGGACGGAGAAGGCUAUGUUGGCCGGGCGACGGUUGUCCCGGUUUAAGCGUGUAGGUGUGUGUUCCAGGUAAAUCCGGUUCACUUUAACACUGAGGCGUGACGACGAGGCACUACGGUGCUGAAGCAACAAAUGCCCUGCUUCCAGGAAAAGCCUCUAAGCAUCAGGUAACACGAAAUCGUACCCCAAACCGACACAGGUGGUCAGGUAGAGAAUACCAAGGCGCUUGAGAGAACUCGGGUGAAGGAACUAGGCAAAAUGGUGCCGUAACUUCGGGAGAAGGCACGCUGACACGUAGGUGAAGUGAUUUACUCAUGGAGCUGAAGUCAGUCGAAGAUACCAGCUGGCUGCAACUGUUUAUUAAAAACACAGCACUGUGCAAACACGAAAGUGGACGUAUACGGUGUGACGCCUGCCCGGUGCCGGAA